rnacentral:lncRNA from 10 species
AUUGACCUUAAAUAACUUUCUGACAUAACCUCCCCAUUUCAUGGAUGAAAAACCCUAAAGCUCUCAUAAGUAAAGUGAUUUACUUCAGGACACAAACUAGUUGAUUUAGUUUGGAUGUUUGUCCCCUCCAAAUCUCAUGUUGAAAUGGAAUCCCCAGUGUUGGAGGUGGGGCCUGGUGGGAGGUGUUUGUGUCAUGGGGCAGAUCCAUUAUCCUUAUGAGCUGCUUGGUGCUAUCCUUGUGAUAGUGAGUGAGUUCUCAUGAAAUCUGGUUGUUUAAAAAUUUGUGGCACCUCCCCACCAGCCUUGCUCCUGCUCUUGCGGUGUGAUAUGCCUGCUGCCUCUUCACCUUACACCGUGAUUAUAAGCUUCCUGAGGCCUCACCAGAAGCAGUUCUUCUAUCAGGAUUUUAAGAGGGCAGGCAGAACUUUAAAGCAAAGGAAAUUGCUUGUUUUUGUGAAAUUAACCAGUCUGUUAUCAAGGCGGAGGACAAGAUACGAAUGCUAAUCAUUGUGAAGAAACUCAUUACGGAAUUUUCUCCAAUACAUAGGCAAAAGAAGUGGCUGUUAUCAUUUUGCACUAUAACCAGACAUAUAAUGCUGUU